UUCUACUAUUGUUAAUGAAAAAAACAAAACAUAUUUCCUCUCUAUAUUUUAAUGAAUUUGAAUCAUAUCAACACGUGGCAAGAAAUGACGAAUAAGGACGUGUCAGUUAAAUAUUUUAAGAUAUUUUGCCUUUUUUUUUUUUACCUCAGCUGUUGUGUGAAAGGAGUUCAAUGUGGCUUGAUGAGUCAGUGAAGCUCACUUCAGGUGAGUUGUUGAGAAUAUCCUGAACUAAGGUGUUAGCUGCUGUUUGCUGGUGUUACUGAAAUUGGAUCUAACAUUGUUAGAGUUGGCAAUUAGCGAAUGAACUCACUUACAGCAUGAGAAUGUGAUCAAACGUCCUCAGAGGGAAAGUGUAAUAUGUAGUACAUACACUUGGUCCUAAAAUUAUUUGGCAACAUUAGCAUACAAAUACGUAUAGAGUAGAGCUGGGCGAUAGAACGAUAACGAUAUGUAUCGCGAUAUAACUUUUACUCGAUAGAGAAAUUAAGCUAUCGCGAUAGACCUCGCCGCUCUUGUCCUCAAAAAAAAAAAAAAAAAAGGUCAGCCAAUCCAAAUUAAGUAGCGCAGAGCCAAACCAAUCACAGCCGCAGCGUCACGUCGCGUGACUUGUUACGUUAAGCACAAGUGCCAAGCCGCACAUGUGUUUGUUUGGGAAGCAGCCAGCGGGAAAUGAGUGUGCCGACUAGAAAAAUCAACCGAGCGUGACCGAAGAGAAAACAGAUGACGGUUCCAAUGUCGGAGAGAUUGUCGAACGGAAGAGCCAUAGAAGUUCUGUAGUUUGAAGGUAUUUCAGCUAUUUCAAGUCUGACAAAAAACAGAGUAGCGCGCACUGUAAAUUGUGCCGAAAGCAAGUCUGGAAAUACAAUAAACUGGUGCAUGCGUCACACUGUGCGCCACGUUAUGGUUUCGGUGAAAUGAAUUUCUACAAUACUGUUAAUUCUACUCUCUGCAGUGUUUAAACGCUUACAUAUACACACAGUUACUGUCCGUCCACACAUACGACUCGGUUCUGCUUCUAUGCCCCAGCUUUGUUUACUUUUUCCCACCGAGGCUUCUAGACUUCUGAUUGGCCAACAUUUCUGCACGGUUAGGAAUCUAGCGCCACCUGCUGCUUUGGCAUGUUCAUAGCAGCGUUUUCC
ensembl:lncRNA